rnacentral:lncRNA from 1 species
GCUUAACUAGGUCUUUAGGGAGUGUGUGGUCCUGAACUCCUGUACCAGCGACUCCUGGACACCACCAGGCCGAUGCAGUUGGUCUCAGGCUCAAGUCUCACUUCUUCCAGGCGAGCGGUUCUGCCUCAGUGCAUCUCUGUAUAUCUUACGCUGACCAGCACAUCCUUGGAAUGGCUUGAACUUUUCUAUCUGCACCCUGACCAUCGGCAUGACCAUAACAACUUACAAUCUGAAAUUGUUUCACCUUUUGUGGUUCGAACAAGGAGGAGAUUGGACCAGGUGACCUCUGAGGGCCUUCUGGCUCCACCUUCUGUGAAGACAUCAAACCGUCAGACGUAGAUCUGGAAGUGGUGACCCUCUCUCUUUGCAUGAGUUUCUCUUUUUCCUCUGAGUUGCAGUGUUGAGGGCAGCUGUUCAUUUUUUUAAUCCCUCAGAUAACUCAAUUUUAGGAACAUUCGCUCUCCCUAAGCCUUACCUUGAAAGCCAGCGUAGGAUUUUGCUGCCACCCCAGAAGAUGCUGAGUGGAUCCAGGUUCCUAUCCGUUUUCUCCCUCUGGUGUGAGCCCACACUCCCGAUGCUGGGAAAUGGCUCUGUUCCAGGAGUGCGGCUAUCAUCCUCUUCCUCUGCCCAGUGCUCUCUGUUACAUCUUUUUUUUUUUCUAAAGCACAAUCACACAACUAGCUGUGAAUAAACCCCUAUUGCCACUGCCUAGGAAAAUGGUUUCC